rnacentral:rRNA from 1 species
GAUGAACGCUGGCGGCGUGCCUAAUACAUGCAAGUCGAGCGAACGGACGAGAAGCUGGCUUCUCUGAUGUUAGCGGCGGACGGGUGAGUAACACGUGGAUCACCUACCUAUAAUACUGGGAUAACUUCGGAAAACCGGAGCUAAUACCGGAUAAUAUUUUGAACCGCAUGGUUCAAAAGUGAAAUCCGGUCUUGCUGUCACUUAUAGAUGGAUCCGCGCUGCAUGAGCUAGUUGGUAAGGUAACGGCUUAGCAAGGCAACGAUGCAUAGCCGACCUGAGAGGGGGAUCGGCCACCCUGGAACUGGGACACGCUCCAGACGCCUGCGGGAGGCCGCAGUCGGGAAUCUUACGCAAUGGGCGAAAACCUGACGGAGCAACGCCGCGUGAGUUAUGGAGGUCCUCGGAUCGUAAAGCUCUGUUAUUAGGGAAGAACAUAUGUGUAAGUAACUGUGCCCAUCUUGACGGUACCUAAUCAGAAAGCCCCGGCUAACUACGUG